AACGAACGCUGGCGGCGUGCCUAACACAUGCAAGCCGUGCGAGAAAGUUCCUCGGGAGCGAGUAAAGCGGCGCACGGGUGAGUAACACGUAGGUAACCUGCCCCCCAGUCUGGAACAACUAGAGGAAACUCUAGCUAAUGCCGGAUGAGACCACGAUCCCUUCGGGGGUUGCGGCCAAAGAUGGCCUCUACUUGUAAGCUAUCGCUGAGGGAUGGGCCUGCGGGCCAUUAGCUUGUUGGUGAGGUAACGGCUCACCAAGGCUGUGAUGGCUAGCUGGUCUGAGAGGAUGACCAGCCACACUGGGACUGAGACACGGCCCAGACUCCUACGGGAGGCAGCAGUGGGGAAUAUUGCGCGAUGGGCGAAAGCCUGACGCAGCGACGCCGCGUGGGUGAUGAAGGCCUUCGGGUCGUAAAGCCCUGUCGCAGGGGAAGAAUAAGCAUCGGUAUAAUACGCCGGUGCCCUGACGGUACCCUGCAAGAAAGCACCGGCUAACUCCGUG
rnacentral:rRNA from 1 species